rnacentral:rRNA from 1 species
UACGAAGGGGGCGAGCGUUGUUCGGAUUUACUGGGCGUAAAGGGCGCGCAGGCGGCGCAUCAAGUCAGGCGUGAAAGCCCCGGGCUUAACCUGGGAACUGCGUCUGGGACUGGUGGGCUAGAGAUCGGGAGAGGAGAGUGGAAUUCCCAGUGUAGAGGUGAAAUUCGUAGAUAUUGGGAAGAACACCAGUGGCGAAGGCGGCUCUCUGGACCGACACUGACGCUGAGGAGCGAAAGCCAGGGGAGCAAACGGG